rnacentral:sRNA from 1 species
CUUUAAAAAUCUGGAUCAAGCUGAAAAUUGAAACGACACACAGUUAAUGUGUGUUCGAGUCUCUCAAAUUUUUCGCGACACGAUGAUGUUUUACGAAACAUCUUCGG